UUUCAUUCUUGACUAAAUCAUUUAGGCUGAGAUUACUGUCAUCAUGAAAAUAUCUGACCCUUUCUUUUUGCUCACGGGUUGAAGCCUAUGACAAAAUGAACAAUAUUAAUUUAGUGAAAACAUGAGUCUCUCAAGUAUUUUUAAUGAAUUACCUAUAAAUCUGAUGUUAAAUGCAAAAAUCCCACUAUGCAUCACAAUCUCCCCUUCCACGUUAUCCCUGUUCUAUCUGCUUCCACGUGGAAGAACUUCUCUUAGAACAACACUCCCUACACUUCUGCCCCUUUACUUUCCUCUUCUCUUGGGAUGAAAGCAUAUCAUUAUCUGAUUUCUGAGUUUGGGGGAAAGGGCGGAAUUGCUUUAUCCCUUCUCUCUGCUCUGCUUUUCCUUGUUAAGAAGAAGAGCUCCCUUUUCUGCUUCCUUGCCUCCAGCAGCAAAGACACUCAACAGGCAAAAACAUGUGACAGAAAAAUUCUGAAUAAAUCGUUUGGAGGUCCAAUAAAAAUUCCCUUCUCUAUAUGCAAUAGGGAAGUCUCCAGUUAUCCAGAGAUCAUGAAAGCAUGUUGGAAACAGAGGUGGAGUAUUAGCAAAUCCACUUCAAACAGCUCUACCAGAAACACAGCUGACACUCUGAUUCUCAACUAAAUCCGUUCUGGAUUUUCCUAUCAGUUGGUCCCAUGGCUACAUGCAGAAAAGAAAAGUGCUAUUUGUUUCCUCCAAAAUCAAACCUCCCUAUUUCUGUUCUCACAUUCCUAUAUCCAAACCAAACCUGCUUUUCAACCUCCUUGAUAUCUUUGGAACCACAUUUCCAGUAUUUUCUCCCAACAUUACUAUUCCCUGUCUUCACUAGAUUCUAUCUCAUACUCUAUGACUUCAAUUAUUUCCUGGCUCCAGACCUUUAAUUUCUAGCCUUCUUACACUUUCAUUAUGCUCGAAAAACAAACCUCAAUCCUGAAUGAAUCUGUCUGCCACCUUUACUUUCAUACCUAGAUCACUCAGUAGUAGGCAACUCAAAAAGAGCCACACCACCAUCUAGCAAUGCACCUAGGGAUCCCUAGCCAGUUCUGCCAUUUCAUGUAAUUCAAACCCUUACUGUCUCCUGCCACAUCUCUGCUCCAAACUCCUAAUUCCGCCCAUUUCAUUAGAAGAGCUAUCGUUCACACACUGUUUCCUGAAUGAAUGAAUUACUAUCUCUAGCAGCAAAAGCACUCAACAGGCAAACAAUAAACAUGAGACAGAAAAAUUCUAAAUGAAUAAAUAUUUUGUAAACCCAAUUACCAUUUGUAUGAUCUUUCAAAUUUAAAACUAAAAAUCUAACUUAGGAAAACUGAAUAUAUUGUUUUUGCCAUCUCAAAAGCCUUAACGUAGUCCUAAAAACUCAUUGCUAGAGUUACAAGAUGGAAAAGAAAAUUAGGCUUACAAAGGAUCCAGCAGCUACAUAAUUGAGACAUUACUGUAUACAGACGACCCCAUCACCAUGUCUCAAAUCAGCUACACAGACAACAGGUCUGGGAGACCACGGUUUUCCCUAUGAGCUAUGGUUAAAGUACAUGAGAAGAAGCUAUAAACAAUGAAUGUCAAAGAAAUGUACACUAAAAUUAAAACUGCGUUAAACAAUCAAUGUUCAGAAUUAUUUGAAAACUGUGGUUGAAUUAGAUUCCAUUUUGUAAAAAGCAAAGGGACAUAACUAAGAAUAAAAAUAAUAACAAUUUAUUAUCAUCUAAUGUUUGCAUUAUAAAACUACAUUUCAGAAAAUAUUUUAAAGUAGUCUGAUGCAAAGAAUUCUCAAGAGUAGAAAAGUAAUUCUGAAUUAAUAAACAAAGACUUGCUGAACAUACCGUCUGUCUAUUCCUUCUUCCUCCUUUGUAUUCCAGAGGUUUUCCCGGUGCGUUUACAGGCCAUAUGCUUCCAGAUCUGUCUGUCCUAACAAGGAUCACUUCUUGCUGGUCUUCAUUCUAUGGGAAGAUUCAGAGGUUUUCGAAAAGCACAAUGCACAGAACCCUGAGCAACCAGGGCUGAAGAUGAACUAGAUGGUUCCAACUUUCUGCCCUUGCUUUGAAAUGACAGUUCUUCAUCAUCAGAAGGUCUUAAGAAUUUAGGUCUCAAAUUUCCAAGAGAAGAAAGCACUUGAUUUUGGCUUUGACUGGAUUCUCUUCUGUGUGUUUCUGAAGUCUCAGAUCUAUUAUCUUUUUCAUCACCACUAAAUUUACCUUUAUUGAUAUUGUGUGUAGUAUCUGUUGAACUGUAUCUAUACCUUGAACUUUUAUUAUAUUUUACAAAGUCUGACCUUC